UGGGGAAUCUUGGACAAUGGGGGCAACCCUGAUCCAGCCAUGCCGCGUGAGUGAUGAAGGCCUUAGGGUCGUAAAGCUCUUUCGCCUGUGAAGAUAAUGACGGUAGCAGGUAAAGAAACCCCGGCUAACUCCGUGCCAGCAGCCGCGGUAAUACGGAGGGGGUUAGCGUUGUUCGGAAUUACUGGGCGUAAAGCGCACGUAGGCGGACCAGAAAGUUGGGGGUGAAAUCCCGGGGGCUCAACCCCGGAACUGCCUCCAAAACUAUUGGUCUAGAGUUCGAGAGAGGUGAGUGGAAUUCCAAGUGUAGAGGUGAAAUUCGUAGAUAUUUGGAGGAACACCAGUGGCGAAGGCGGCUCACUGGCUCGAUACUGACGCUGAGGUGCGAAAGUGUGGGGAGCAAACAGGAUUAGAUACCCCUGGUAGUCCACACCGUAAAACGAUGAAUGCCAGUCGUCGGGGUAGCAUGCUAUUCGGUGACACACCUAACGGAUUAAGCAUUCCGCCUGGGGAGUACGGUCGCAAGAUU
rnacentral:rRNA from 1 species